GAACUCCCAGAGUACCUCCUUAGCAUCAUGGAGUUUGGCUGAGGUUGGGAAGGCAGACAGCUGACAGAGUAGGGACAAGAACAGCAUUUCCCCACCGGGGAACUCAGCCACCUCCUGAGCAAACAGGAAUGCACAACUGAACUUUGCAUUGACUUUCAAUAUAUAUAACCUGUUCUUAAGUGAGUGAAUGAGGGAAUGGUGGUCAGGAAAGGAGCCAAGUCUGAGAAGCCUCAUUGUGGGAGGGAUGGGGGAGGAGAGGGGAGGGGAGAUGGGCACAAAAUCAGCGUCAGGAAGAUUGCAGGAUUCUCACUGCAGAACAAAAUAACCAAAGCUAUUUCUUUUUGUCCGCUACUCUUCCACAGGUCCAAAGGGGCACUGCCAUGGAGGUGGGCACCCUCCUGGCCCUGGGCACCACCCUGGAGGCGGGCCGCCCCCUGGCCCUGGGCACCACCCUGGAGGCGGGCCCCCCCCUGGCCCUGGGCACCACCCUGGAGGUGGCCCCACCCCUGGCCCUGGGCCCUGUCCUGGGAAGGGCCACCCCCCAGGGCCUCCUGGUCCACAUCACUGAAGAAACCGAAGAAACAAACCAAGAAUGGGGUGCCUGACCUGGCAUGAGUUCUGAACCAGAAUCUUCUGUUCAAAAUAAUCAGCCUCCUGGAGGCCAUGUUCUCCUCUUAAAAGAGCCUGUCUUUCUUCACAUCCAACCCAGUCCUCAGUCCAGUUGUCUCUGAGUUCCCUAGUUCGAAAAAUAGGGCCCAGUCAGGCUUUCUCAGAUGUUUGACUCAUUGGUGUCCAUAGCAUAUUAAUGUCACCCCUCCCUUUUGUUUUCACUUCUGUCCCACCCCCCAUCAAAAGGCCCCAAGUAGGGCCUUAUCACCUCUACCCCAUCACACAUACCCAGGGCUGGUGGGCCUUCCAGGGUUCCUCUUGCUGGCCUCACUACAAUUCAGAAGCCUUCAGUGGAUUGCUACUGUCCACAAGUUAUUUCUCACUAUCCCCUGAAAAUACUUUCCAGACUCCUUAACUCUGCCCAGUUUACCCACUACCACCACAUCCGCCCCUCCCCAGGAAUGCCUUCCUUCCAAGCCACCAUCAACAUACAGCCUUCUCUAAAGCCUGUUAGAGUAAGAAGUCCUUUCUGUGCACACUGCCCUCUUUUCUGAAGCUUUUAUCAACCAUCACAUGGGCCCAACCACAGCCUACCCAAUUGGCACCAAUUAACUGGCUGGCUUUUUAUCUCUUCAGCCAAAACAAGCUACUCAGGGCUGGGUCAACACUUCUGCACUUCUAGACUCUCCCACCCUCAUUGCCUACUGGUCUAUGCCUUGCAUAGAGUGGUAUCUGCACACAGUUUAGGGAUACCCAUAGUCGAAGCAUCUCUGGGUUCUAACUCUUCCCCCAGCCACAUUCUUCAACCAAGGCACCUCCCACACAGAGACAGCAUGCCUGGUAUGAAACCCCUUCUGCUCGCCCAAAUCACAUCUAGGAUCCUCUCCACUCUGCAACUCCCAGGCUUUUCACACUGCUCAAAUCUAAUCUAGUGCUACCACAGCCCUCUAGCCAGGCCUGUCCACUACUCAUCACACCUCCUCUCUCUCACAGUCAUUGCCUGACG
rnacentral:lncRNA from 1 species